CAGCCACUUGAUGAUCUUUAACCUAGUGACAACGGCAGCCACACCAGACCCAUCCUGAGGUGUGACAGCCAUCAUCCCACCCGUGGAGUUAAAAGUGGAUUCAGCAGCAUCAGACCUGUUUUACCUGUACAGUCAGCCGAACACAAACUCAUGAUACUGGCUAAUGACGAUAAGUCGAAGACAGUCUCGAAGUUCCCUCAAGUCUCUGUCCGAGCGAGAACCACCUUCCGCAACAGCCAUUCUCAAGCAUAUGUUCUUCAGAUCAACACUGUCCUGAAAGAGAGAAAGGGGGAAAUAGGAAUCUCCUCAACAGAGAAGCGCCUGUAAACAGAACAGUGACGCUUCAUAAGUGCAGCACAAUACACUCCAAUAGAGGGCGCCAUAACUGCAUGCAGAACAGCAGGGGGAAAGCUUAACCAGAUUCAGAGCAGCAGAUAUUAUUCAAGACAGGAUAAGAGGGGCCGAAGCUCAGCAGAGUAUGAAUUGAGGGCAAUUGGUAUGAAAAUCAUGAUGAUGAAAAGCAGCACAGCGUGUCUGCACACAUUCACAAUGCUCCAUCUGCAGUCAACUCAAGUCUGCGGGUGCAUCUCAGUCACCUCAUUAGAGGAAACAACAAUCUUGAAACAAGUCAUUUGCAAGUGACGCCCUGCAAAAGUAAUUACUGAAGAAUAGCCUCACUGAACAGAAACAAAACACUUGACAUGAAUCUAAUAGCUUGUUAAAGAGAAAAAAUUAAUAAAAUUAGUUUGAUAAAUAAAUGCAUUUUUUGAGCAAGUAUGAAUUAAACUAAAUAUUUUAAAGACUUUAGUGUUACAAAAGAUUUUGGUUUGGAAUAAAUGUUGUUUUAAGUAUGUUUUU
rnacentral:lncRNA from 1 species